rnacentral:tRNA from 1 species
UAGCUUAGUGGUACAGCACUUGUUCAGCAUGCAUGAGGUCCUGGGUUCAAUUCCCAG